CGAUGCAACGCGAUGAACCUUACCUGGUCUUGACAUAGUGAGAAUCCUGCAGAGAUGCGGGAGUGCCUUCGGGAAUUCACAUACAGGUGCUGCAUGGCUGUCGUCAGCUCGUGUCGUGAGAUGUUCGGUUAAGUCCGGCAACGAGCGCAACCCACAUCCUUAGUUGCCAGCAGUUCGGCUGGGCACUCUAGGGAAACUGCCCGUGAUAAGCGGGAGGAAGGUGUGGAUGACGUCAAGUCCUCAUGGCCCUUACGGGCUGGGCUACACACGUGCUACAAUGGCAUCUACAAUGGGUUAAUCCCCAAAAGAUGUCUCAGUUCGGAUUGGGGUCUG
rnacentral:rRNA from 14 species